UACGUAGGGGGCGAGCGUUGUCCGGAAUGAUUGGGCGUAAAGGGCGCGUAGGCGGCCUGUUAAGUCUGGAGUGAAAUUCCUGCUUUCAAGGUAGGAAGUGCUUUGGAAACUGGCGGGCUGGAGUGCAGGAGAGGUUAGCGGAAUUCCCGGUGUAGCGGUGAAAUGCGUAGAGAUCGGGAGGAACACCAGUGGCGAAGGCGGCUAACUGGACUGUAACUGACGCUGAGGCGCGAAAGUGUGGGGAGCAAACAGG
rnacentral:rRNA from 1 species